UGCAGUGAUCUUUGCAUGUCUACCCAGAUUGAUAGUAUGCUUCCCCUAUGUAACUGGAGUCUUAAAUUGUGCUUUAGCUUUCUUUUUUUUCUAUUUUUUUUUUAUUUUUACAGACUGCAUUUUGAUUCAUUGUACACAAAUGGGGUACAACUUUUCAUUUCUAUGGUUGUGCACGAUGUAGAUUCACACCAUUAAGUAAUCAUACAGCACUUCAACUUGUGAUGCCUCAAGUUUUCUUCCAUCAUUAAAUGAGGACCAAAGGCAUAUAAAGAGCAACUUUGUGUAGGAAUACUUUUCAAAGUUUUGAGAGAUGCCCAGUGAAGCACAGUGCCUGGCACAGGGAGCAUGCUGUGUGUGCAGAGGAUGGAAGAGCUGAGUCUAGAGCCAACUGCAAGGGAGACAAGAUUGGGCUUUGCCUCUUUCUCUCAGAGUCCCAGUGGGCAUCAUGUCUAAAUGGGUUGCACAGCACUUUCCUGUGGCUUCCUGUUCCCUCACAUCGAGGUAAACUGCCCCGAAAGAAGAAAAAAAGGUACUUGUACCACAUUAGGACCUUUGAACAUGAUGUUGUGUAUCUAGGGAUGGAAGAAAAAGACUGCAUGAAAUAAACCUACAAAAACCAUUUAGUUUAAUUUUAGUUUAGCCUACUGCAAAUGCACUUAUUCUAGAAAAUGUUAGAGUUAUAUAAGG